rnacentral:rRNA from 1 species
CAGUCGCCGCGGGAACACGUAGGUGGCAAGCGUUGUCCGGAAUUAUUGGGCGUAAAGGGCUCGCAGGCGGUUUCUUAAGUCUGAUGUGAAAGCCCCCGGCUCAACCGGGGAGGGUCAUUGGAAACUGGGAAACUUGAGUGCAGAAGAGGAGAGUGGAAUUCCACGUGUAGCGGUGAAAUGCGUAGAGAUGUGGAGGAACACCAGUGGCGAAGGCGACUCUCUGGUCUGUAACUGACGCUGAGGAGUGAAAGCGUGGGGAGCGAACAGGAUUAGAUACCCGAGUAGUCCCUGUCUCUUAUAC